rnacentral:rRNA from 1 species
UACAGAGGGUGCGAGCGUUGUCCGGAAUCACUGGGCGUAAAGGGCGCGUAGGCGGCCCGAUAAGUAGGGGGUGAAAUCCUGCGGCUUAACUGCAGGGCUGCCUCCUAGACUGUCAGGCUCGAGCACGGUAGAGGCAGAUGGAAUUCCCGGUGUAGCGGUGGAAUGCGUAGAGAUCGGGAAGAACAUCGGUGGCGAAGGCGGUCUGCUGGGCCGUUGCUGACGCUGAGGCGCGACAGCGUGGGGAGCAAACAGG